CGUCCCCGUUUUCAAUUCGUCUUCCUCGAGCUCGCUGGGAUAGUAGACCGCGCCGCCGCACCCGCAUGAUCUCCUACCCGCCGCCAUUUCGUGCCCCCAUGAAAGGAUUUAGUUGAGAUUGGUCUGUAGAAGGGGCGCACAGUUGCAGAUGCCAGGCCGUGAGAGCCGCCGCCGAGGAUGGAAAUGAGGAACACGCGAUGGGAACGGGCACACCCACGCCGGCCGAGCUCCACACCAUCCAGCCCACCCCUCUUCGUCGUGCACGGCCGAACGAGGGCGACUUCAUUGGUGGUCUGCAACCCCGGCGAGGCGACAGCCAGCGGUUGCGACGUCGUCAUCCUGUACCCUCCCAGCUCACGCUGGUCUGCGGCGAAGGGGUGCCAUGGCGGCCGACGGGGAUGUAUUACCGAGGUAGGGUGUUGGUGGCCAGUCUCCAGAUUUUAGACCAACGGUGAGCAGGCAUCAGCAGCUGGUGUUGGUUGGAGAGACACAACGGGAUGCAUUUGCUGCGGCUAGGGGAGUCAUCCUGCUCCUGGAAGCUGUUGUGCUGCCUCUCAGCACGACUGCUGGCCUGCAUCUUCAUCACAUGUAGGUUAGAGUUGAGGACGAUGUGUUCGUUGGUGACGCUUUUCAGUCACUUUGUCUGGCGCCAUCAAGAACGAGGCCUUGACAGGUUCUAGAUGUCUUCCCUGUUCUUGUUUUAAAUUUUCGUGAUAAGUCACUCCGGCCAUGCUUUCUGAUGACUUCAUUGCUUAUAUGUUUUCUUUUUCAGUUUCAUAAGUUACGGCCUUCAUAGUACUUCCAUAGAUACAUUGUAGCCGAUACGCCUGUGAUGUCUAGCGACAAGAGACCGGGAAUCCUAGAAGCUCAUGUCUGUCCAAGGAUUCUCGACAAGCGUCCCCGUGAAUUUCGUAAUUUAGUUUUCCUUCUAAAUUAUAAAUGUUGAUAAGUAUUAUGUCCAUAGCCUCAUGUAUAUGUAGUUUGUCAUUUGCGCAAUGAAUGGCUAGCGAAAUUGCAAGAUUAAUGAUUCAUGUCAUAUAUCCAAUAUUAUUGUGAUGAAUGUUGUACUUUUUAAUCAGGAAUCAUGCACGAAAUUUUGUUGGUAUCCUGAUUGCCAUUGUGGAAGCCGUGACCUGUGUCCUGUGGGAGCCAACUUGGACCUGGGAAUGCUAUUCUCAUUACGCUUUGUUUGUUGGAUCAUUGUCUUAUGUGAUAUGUCUAGAUAAACAUCUUAGGUGCUGACACACAUUAAUUGUUUCUUGCAGCUUCUACACAGGAAGUACACAGUGGAAAUUUCAUUAUUAACCUUCUCGGCAAAUGGAAAUAAUAUGAAUAUUCUGGUCAUUCUGUUACUACUAGUGGUCUUGCUUACAAUGUGACUGCACCAUCCAGGUGAAUUAUUGGUUAUAUUGCAUUGCUACCUUUUUCCAUUUUGUCGUCUAAGUUUUGGUUGCCCUAGAAAAUGCUGUUACACUAACCAUGUUAUGUAAACUGCAGUUUAGCUGAUAUUCUGGCGAAUCCAUUCCAUUAAUUUUUGAUUUUAUUAACCUGAAUCUGUACAGGUUCUUCACCGGCUAUAGAUUAUUGCAGUGAGUAUGUACACUAAUUGGCAAUGAAUAGAGAAAAGUAUCUUCAUGUGGCAGGGUGUCGCCUUGUUGCAGAUAACCAUCUGGAGUUCAUCACUAAGAAUAUAUCGCCUCUACCUGGAGUUCAGCAUUCAAAACCGGGUUGCCUAAAAUUUAGUACGACCUCAUGCCCAUGUUCAUAAGCACAUAUGUUUUUAUACUUUGCUCUAAUAUGUUAUGCCCGUCCAAAAAAUUAUUAUUCUUCCUGCUUUGCCUACUAAACAUGUAUGAUGAUGGCAUAAUGCUUUACUUGGCAUGAUGAUUUGCUUCCUAUUGACUGUUUUGUCCGCACUGACUUCUGUAUACGGCUCAUACAUUACAUGCUAAUCUACAGAGCAGCUUGCUUUAGAGAUUUUAUAAUGAAAGAUGGAAGAGGUACUGAAUGAAUUUUAAAGCAUUGCUUAAAGGAUCCAGAUAGUUAUGCUUUGGGUUAGUUUUUUUUAUUAGGAUCUCUCUAGGAACUUUUCCCUCUAUACUGUGUUGUUGCCGCUGUAGGCCAGCAAGACGGUUGGUGUCGAUGAUGAAGAUUGCUUGUUUUGUCUGAUUAUGAAAUGAUUUGGACACAUAUAGAGUAUUACCGCCUUUAGCUUCCAAGGUAUGUUACCAUCCCAUGCCCCAUCUGCUUAGCUAACUUUUUUUGGUGAACUAGGAUACUGGGAUUAGCUAAAUACAGUUAUCCAAGAAGGAGAUGACCCUCUUACAAGACCUCUGAUUGGUGGAUUCUGUUGUUGUCACUGUCUUGCAUCAUUCAGAGAAAAGUCAAUUUAUUUUUAGCGUUGUUUGCAUGAAAAUUUAAAUAUAUAACAUGGCAAUAUGUGAAGUGGAACAAUUUAUUAGUCCUCAUAAUGCCAGAUUUGACUCCAUUAACUCUGUAGGUUGCGCCAGUUUUUCAAGCUUCGAUUAUUAGGAGAACAGUGUGAUAGGUGUUAAUCAUACAAAAUAUUGAUCUAGCCUCAUCAACAGUACUUAGGAAAAUACAAAUUUCAUGCAUUUACCAGUAUAAAGCUCAGAUAACAUUGUUUAAUAUUCUACUCCCUCUGUUCGGUAACUGGCAAUCAAAGUAACCCUACUGUUGUAUUUACUCCCUUGUUUACACAUAUAAGAGCCAUAUUCUAACUGUAUGCCAUGUGGACAUGUGGUACUUUGAUUGUCUGCGCCCAAAAGCAAGGCUAGGGCCCAAUUAUGGCUCGACGUGUGGACCAAUGAAAAACACAGAAGCAAGGCCAGCGCCCAGCCUCUCAAGAUUAACCUUGCUGUAAGCACACUUACUGUAAGCACUUCAUUUGAUAUGCCAAAAUGCUCACUUAUUGUCAGCCCGGUCGAUUUAGCUUCCAUAAAUUUAAUCGAUAUUAACUUCCAAAUUUUACUGUGGUGCUUGUAUGUUCACAGAGAACCAUUGACAUAUGGUGUAGUGACAGUAUUAAAUACAACAUUAUUGUUUGUGGAUGAAAAAAUUAUGCGUGGUUUUCAGUUUAUGGUGAUCUUUAUUGUUAUGUUCAUUAACUUUUAGCGUUUGGGUAUAUUUGCUAUGCUGCCAUCUGCUUACAGGAAGGUGACUGACUGGUUGUUUUUUUCACCUGCUAAUUAUCAGAUUGUUGAUAAAGAAACAGUCCAUUUAUACAGCUACCCUUAUCUCUUCAUGCUACAAAACGAAAGAGAUUUGGUUUUUUUCCUUAUCUGAGUGCGCAGCAGCAAUGUGUUAUUUCUGUACACAAUGAUUGUUGCCUUUUGGUCACAACUGACUCUCCUCUUUUUAUCUCAAUUUUUUGUAUUCAGAUGUAUUAAAAAAUUACUCCUAUUUGGAUGUUCUUUGUUAAAUAUUGAUGAAGAGUUCAGGUAGUCAACUGGAUGAACAUGCAUCUUUUUUGAUUGCUGAAGAACAUGCAUCUAUCUUUACCAAGAUGUGUAGAUUCCAUUACUUGUCAGAAUAUCCCUAUGAUCCUGUUGUUGAUUUCUGUUGUAGAUAUCAGUAUCAUUUUCAUACCACGACGAUAAUCUGCAAGACCAGCUUAGUUCAGAGUUUAGGCUGCUCCUGAAUUUCAUUCAUGUGUGCAUCUUUUGGCUAUGUAAACUUGUAAAGCACGUGUGGUAGCUUAGUUCAGUUUUGAUCCACUUUUCCAUACAUUUUUUUUUCAUGUAAGAUUGUUGGUUUCUGUAAACAACUAGGUCCCCAUUUGGUAUUUCUUUGGAUACAAACCUGAA